CUCUAUUCUUUGUAUUUUAACACACCAUCAUUCUCUUUUAUUAUCAGUGUUUUCUUAAUCUUUAAUGUCUCAGCCUUUAAAUUUUGCACUUUUGCCCAUAGGGAUUAUUACAUGAUUGGUGUAUCUAUUCUGUAAACACCAUCCAGACCCUCAGUUUAUGUGAAUAUAUAUAAGUUAUCUGGUGUAUUUAGUCACACUCACCCAAUCUUGAUUAAGUCAUAUUGAUUAUUAAUAACAAAUUGGCAAAGCAAUGUGAUGGGUAAAUAUCAGUUAAAGUAAGUUGUACUUACAAACUUUAUUGUACUUUUACAGACAAUUCAUCAAUUAAACUUUGUGUCAAGUUUUCUUUUAAUUCAAUAAUAAUUAAGGAAUACACAAAUGUGACAAUUUUGACUGAAGUUUUCUAUUUGUAUCAUAAUAUGAAUACCAAUUACUUUUAAAUGCCAUUAAUGGUUUACAUAUUUUUUUCAGUACAUGCAUGAAGAUGACUUGGAGGCAAUGGUGUCAUACAUGUUAGUUUUAACUAUAAUAGCCUAACUGAAAUUUGAAAAAAGUUAUCAGAGGAAAAGAGUGACCACUUCUUUCUUAUGAAGAUCAACACACACAAGGAAAUUAUCAGACAAUUUGUAACCAG
rnacentral:lncRNA from 1 species